rnacentral:lncRNA from 1 species
CGAAUUUGUACUAUCCCAUAUUCCGGAGAUAUGGUAAAUACCAUUAUGAAAGAUUUUUAGUGCGGAUUUAUUUCUCACGAUUCUUGACUGGAACGAAUACCGGGCUAAAGCUAAGUAGAAGUUUAGUAAAGCAUGAAAUUGAUCAUGUUUUGUUGGUGUAUGUAAAUGGAUUUAAUAAAUAUGGUAGAAGGUGGAAAGGGAAGGAGUUUGGAAAUCAAUUAAACAUAAUUUGUAAAAGGAAAGUAAUAUGAAACGGAAAUGGCAGAAUGCUUAUUCAAAGGAAAGAAAAAUGGUUACAGACGUAUGAAAGAAAUAAAUUGCUCUGUAUUUCCA